rnacentral:rRNA from 1 species
GACGGAAGGUGCAAGCGUUGCUCGGAAUCACUGGGCGUAAAGGGUGCGUAGGCGGCUUGGUGGGUCUGGUGUGAAAGCCCCGGGCUCAGCCCGGGAAGGGCACUAGAAACUGCCGAGCUGGAGUGCCGGAGGGGAGAGUGGAAUUCCUGGUGUAGCGGUGAAAUGCGUAGAUAUCAGGAGGAAUACCGGUGGCGAAGGCGGCAUCCUGGACCAUAACUGACGCUGAUGCGCGAAAGCUAGGGGAGCAAACGGG